rnacentral:sRNA from 1 species
UGACUGUGCGAUACGCAUAUCAUUUGGU